UACGUAGGGUGCGAGCGUUAAUCGGAAUUACUGGGCGUAAAGCGUGCGCAGGCGGUUUUGUAAGCCAGAUGUGAAAUCCCCGGGCUUAACCUGGGAAUGGCAUUUGGGACUGCAAGGCUUGAGUGCGGCAGAGGAGACUGGAAUUCCUGGUGUAGCAGUGAAAUGCGUAGAUAUCAGGAGGAAUACCGGUGGCGAAGGCGGCAUCCUGGACCAAUUCUGACGCUGAGGAGCGAAAGCCAGGGGAGCAAACGGG
rnacentral:rRNA from 1 species